GAAAACAGGGGCAACUCUGUGAGUACAGUGGCGUACGGGUGAGUAACACGUGACUACCUACCUUCGAGUGGGGGAUAACCCCGGGAAACCGGGGCUAAUACCGCAUAACAUCGCAAGAUCAAAGAAGCAAUUCGCUGGAAGAGGGGGUCGCGGCUGAUUAGCUAGUUGGUAGGGUAAUGGCCUACCAAGGCAAUGAUCGGUAGCCGGCCUGAGAGGGCACACGGCCACACUUUCUCUGCGACACGGGACAGACUCCUACGUGACUCACUCAGGGAAGUUCUAGAAAUCUCUAGCAAAUUUC
rnacentral:sRNA from 1 species